GAACGCUGGCGGCGUGCCUAACACAUGCAAGUCGAACGGAGAGAUUUUUCAAAGCUUCGGUGGAGAGAAAUCUUUUAGUGGCGGACGGGUGAGUAACGCGUGAGCAACCUGUCCUUAAGAGAGGGAUAACAACGUGAAAACGUUGCUAAUACCACAUAAGACCACAGAGCCGCAUGGCUCAGAGGUAAAAGGAGAAAUCCGCUUAAGGGUGGGCUCGCGUCCCAUUAGUUAGUUGGUAGGGUAAUGGCCUACCAAGACUGCGAUGGGUAGCCGGACUGAGAGGUUGAACGGCCACAUUGGGACUGAGACACGGCCCAAACUCCUACGGGAGGCAGCAGUGGGGAAUAUUGGGCAAUGGGGGAAACCCUGACCCAGCAACGCCGCGUGAGGGAAGAAGGCUUUCGGGUUGUAAACCUCUGUCCCAUGGGAAGAAAAAAAUGACGGUACCAUGGGAGGAAGCCCCGGCUAACUACGUGCCAGCAGCCGCGGUAAGACGUAGGGGGCAAGCGUUGU
rnacentral:rRNA from 1 species